UGGCGGCGUGCUUAACACAUGCAAGUCGAGCGAUGAAGCUUCUUCGGAAGUGGAUAGCGGCGGACGGGUGAGUAACACGUGGGUAACCUGCCUCAUAGAGGGGAAUAGCCUUCCGAAAGGAAGAUUAAUACCGCAUAAGAUUGUAAUAUCGCAUGAUAUAGCAAUUAAAGGAGUAAUCCGCUAUGAGAUGGACCCGCGUCGCAUUAGCUAGUUGGUGAGGUAACGGCUCACCAAGGCGACGAUGCGUAGCCGACCUGAGAGGGUGAUCGGCCACAUUGGGACUGAGACACGGCCCAGACUCCUACGGGAGGCAGCAGUGGGGAAUAUUGCACAAUGGGGGAAACCCUGAUGCAGCCAACGCCGCGUGAGUGAUGACGGUCUUCGGAUUGUAAAGCUCUGUCUUCAGGGACGAUAAUGACGGUACCUGAGGAGGAAGCCACGGCUAACUACGUGCCAGCCGCAGC
rnacentral:rRNA from 1 species